UCCUGAUGGAAGGUGAACCUUUGCCCCAGUCUGAGGUCCUGUGUGCUUGGGGUUGUUGUCCUGAUGGAAGGUGAACCUUUGCCCCAGUCUGAGGUCCUGUGUGCUUGGGGUUGUUGUCCUGAUGGAAGGUGAACCUUUGCCCCAGUCUGAGGUCCUGUGUGCUUGGGGUUGUUGUCCUGAUGGAAGGUGAACCUUUGCCCCAGUCUGAGGUCCUGUGUGCUUGGGGUCGUUGUCCUGGUGGAAGGUGAACCUUUGCCCCAGUCUGAGGUCCUGUGUGCUUGGGGUCGUUGUCCUGAUGGAAGGUGAACCUUUGCCCCAGUCUGAGGUCCUGUGUGCUUGGGGUUGUUGUCCUGAUGGAAGGUGAACCUUUGCCCCAGUCUGAGGUCCUGUGUGCUUGGGGUUGUUGUCCUGAUGGAAGGUGAACCUUUGCCCCAGUCUGAGGUCCUGUGUGCUUGGGGUUGUUGUCCUGAUGGAAGGUGAACCUUUGCCCCAGUCUGAGGUCCUGUGUGCUUGGGGUUGUUGUCCUGAUGGAAGGUGAACCUUUGCCCCAGUCUGAGGUCCUGAGUGCUUGGGGUCGUUGUCCUGAUGGAAGGUGAACCUUUGCCCCAGUCUGAGGUCCUGAGUGCUCUGGAGCAGGUUUUCAUCAAGGAUCUCUCUGUACUUUGCUCCGUUCAUUCCCUCGAUCCUGACUAGUCUCCCAGUCCCUGCCACUGAAAAACAUCCCCACAGCAGGAUGCUGCUACC